GUCAGCAGCCGCGGUAAUACCGGCGGCUCGAGUGUGGCCACGUUUAUUGGGCUUAAAGCGUUCGUAGCUGGGUUAUUAAGUCCCUUGGGAAAUCCGACAGCUUAACUGUCGGGCGUCUAAGAGAUACUGGGUAAUCUUGGAACCGGGAGAGGUGAGGGGUACUUCGGGGGUAGGAGUGAAAUCCUGUAAUCCUCGAGGGACCACCUGUGGCGAAGGCGCCUCACCAGAACGGCUUCGACAGUGAGGGACGAAAGCUGGGGGAGCAAACCGGAUUAGAUACCCGGGUAGUCCCAGCCGUAAACGAUGUGCGUUAGGUGUAUCGGUGACCACGAGUCACCGAGGUGCCGAAGGGAAACCGUGAAACGUACCGCCUGGGAAGUACGGUCGCAAGGCUGAAACUUAAAGGAAUUGGCGGGGGAGCACCACAACAGGUGGAGCCUGCGGUUUUAAAUUGGACUCAACGCCGGAAAUCUCACCGGAUAAGACAGCAGAAUGAUUGCCGGGCUGAAGACUCUGCAUGACUAGCUGAGAGGUGGUGCAUGG
rnacentral:rRNA from 1 species